rnacentral:rRNA from 1 species
GAUGAACGCUGGCGGCGUGCCUAAUACAUGCAAGUCGAGCGAACGGACGAGAAGCUUGCUUCUCUGAUGUUAGCGGCGGACGGGUGAGUAACACGUGGAUAACCUACCUAUAAGACUGGGAUAACUUCGGGAAACCGGAGCUAAUACCGGAUAAUAUUUUGAACCGCAUGGUUCAAAAGUGAAAGACGGUCUUGCUGUCACUUAUAGAUGGAUCCGCGCUGCAUUAGUGAGUUGGUAAGGUAACGGCUUACCAAGGCAACGAUGCAUAGCCGACCUGAGAGGGUGAUCGGCCACACUGGGACUGAGCCACGGUCCAGGCUCCUAGGGGAGGCAGCAGUAGGGAAUCUUCCGCAAAGGGCGGAAGCCUGAAGGAGCAACGCCGCGUGAGUGAUGAAGGUCUUCGGAUCGUAAAACUCUGUUAUUAGGGAAGAACAUAUGUGUAAGUAACUGUGCACAUCUUGACGGUACCUAAUCAGAAAGCCACGGCUAACUACGUG